rnacentral:rRNA from 1 species
CCUACGGGUGGCAGCAGUCGAGAAUCAUUGACAAUGGGGGAAACCCUGAUGGUGCGACGCAGCGUGGGGGAAUGAAGGUCUACGGAUUGUAAACCUCUGUCAUGUGGGAGCAAAUUACAGAGAGUGUACCACAAGAGGACGAGACGGCGAAAUAUGGGCCAGCAGCCGCGGUAAAACAGAGGUCGCAAGAGUUGUUCGGAAUAACUGGGGUUAAAGUGUGCGUUGGGUGGUUCGUAAGGCGGUUGUGAAAGUCGCGGGCUCAACCCGAGGAUGGCAGGUGAAACUGUUAGACUUGAGUAUGGGAGAGGUAAGCGGAAUGCUCGGUGUAGCAGUGAAAUGCGUAGAUAUCGCGAAGAACACUCAUGGCGAAGGCAGGUUCCUGGACAUUAACUGACGCUGAGGCACGAAGGCGAGGGGAGCGAAAAGGAUUAGAUACCCCAGUAGAC